UCUGGUUGAUCCUGCCAGUAGUCAUAUGCUUGUCUCAAAGAUUAAGCCAUGCAUGUCUAAGUAUAAAUAGUAUACAGUGAAACUGCGAAUGGCUCAUUAAAACAGUUAUAGUUUAUUUGAUAAUUGACAAUUACAUGGAUAACCGUGGUAAUUCUAGAGCUAAUACAUGCUUAAACGCCCGACUUUAUGGAAGGGUGGUAUUUAUUAGACUGAAGCCAAUAUUCCUUGUGUCUAUUGCGGUGAUUCAUAAUAACUGAUCGAAUCUCUUUUUGAGAUAAAUCAUUCAAGUUUCUGCCCUAUCAGCUUUCGAUGGUAGUGUAUUGGACUACCAUGGCAGUAACGGGUAACGAAGAAUUAGGGUUCGAUUUCGGAGAGGGAGCAUGAGAAACGGCUACCACAUCUAAGGAAGGCAGCAGGCGCGUAAAUUACCCAAUCCUGACUCAGGGAGGUAGUGACAAGAAAUAGCAAACCGGGAACCUCAUGGUUUCACGGUAUUGCAAUGAGAACAAUUUAAAACCCUUAGCGAGAAUCAAGUGGAGGACAAGUCUGGUGCCAGCACCCGCGGUAAUUCCAGCUCCACUAGCGUAUAUUAAAGUUGUUGCAGUUAAAAAGCUCGUAGUUGAACCUCUGUCUGGGGCUAGUUUUGGCUUUGGUCAGGCUAGUUCUAGGCAUCCGCCUACAAGACUUAGAGGGCAUUCAGUUGUUCACUAGGAGGAGUAGGCAUUUUACUUUGAAAAAAUUAGAGUGUUUAAGGCAGGCAAUCGCCCGCAUAUAUUAGCAUGGAAUAAUAGAAUAGGACACUUUUCCAUUUCGUUGGUUAUUGGAAUCGUGUAAUGAUUAAUAGGGACAGUUGUGGGCAUUUGUAUUUAAUUGUCAGAGGUGAAAUUCUUGGAUUUAUUAAAGACAAACUAACGCGAAAGCAUUUGCCAAGGAUGUUUUCAUUAAUCAAGAACGAAAGUUAGGGGAUCAAAGACGAUCAGAUACCGUCCUAGUCUUAACUAUAAACUAUUCCGACUCAAUGUUUGACUGGCUUAUAUAACCAGUUGAGCGUUGUAUGAGAAAUCAAAGUCUUUAGGUUCUGGGGGGAGUAUGGUUGCAGAGCUGAAACUUAAAGGAAUUGACGGGAGAGCACAACCAGGAGUGGAUUCUGCGGCUUAAUUUGACUCAACACGGGGAAACUUACCAGGUUAAAACAAUAGUGGGAUUGACAGUUUGAGAGCGCUUUCUUGAUUGGUUGGGUGGUGGUGCAUGGCCGUUCUUAGUUGGUGGAGUGAUUUGUCUGCUUAAUUGCGUUAACGAACGAGACCUUAACCUGCUUACUAGACUGGCGAUCAUCAAUCGUUAGCUCUUCUUGGA
rnacentral:rRNA from 1 species